ACAACUCAAGGUAAGACUCGAAUUACAUCCACACAGGUAAGACUCAUUUACAUUCAUAUAGAUGGGGCUCAAUUCACAUAAGACUCAAGGUUUACUUCACAUAAGACUCAUUCUACACUUCACAUAAGACUAAAUUUCCACUCAUACAGAUAAGACUCACUUACUUCACACAGGACUCAAAAACAUUCGUUUCACAUAAGACUCGAUCCAUAAUUAUACAUAGGGCUCAAUAACAUUCACUUCACAUAGGACUCGAUAUGCACUCAUACAUACACACUAUCCAUCUGGGUAAACCACUAUCGACGUCUUGCGAGACAGGCAGACACACAUUCGAGAAAUAUCAUCUUGUUACCUCAAGCUAACUGGGGGAGAGGGUUAAACAACUUCUAAGCCAUCGGGUUUCCACAUACCAUGAAUUCUAUAUGCGAGCAUGUUUAUUUAUGCAGAAAAACUUUUUGAGCCAAAUGCAUGAUUUCUUUUGAGGUGUAUGAAUUAAAACAUUAAUGCACGUCAUCCUUCUCGUCUCUCCACAGGUAAUGCCCCUAUUAUCUCCUCUCACACAAUA
rnacentral:lncRNA from 1 species